UACGUAGGGUCCGAGCGUUGUCCGGAAUUAUUGGGCGUAAAGGGCUCGUAGGCGGUUUGUCACGUCGGGCGUGAAAACUCAGGGCUCAACCCUGAGCGUGCGUUCGAUACGGGCAGACUAGAGGUAUGCAGGGGAGAACGGAAUUCCUGGUGUAGCGGUGGAAUGCGCAGAUAUCAGGAGGAACACCGGUGGCGAAGGCGGGUCUCUGGACAGUUCCUGACACUGAGGCACGAAGGCCAGGGGAGCAAACGGG
rnacentral:rRNA from 1 species